ensembl:lncRNA
UGUGGCUCAUGCCUGUAAUUUCAACACUUUAGGAGGCUAAAGUGGGAGAAUUACUUAGGCUCAGAAGUUUGAGUUCAGCCUGGGCAACAUAGUGAGACCCCAUCUCUUCAAAAAAUACAAAAAUUAGUCAGGUAUGCUGGCAUGUGCCUGUAGUCCCAGCUACAUGGGUGACUGAGGGGGAAGGAUCGUUUGAGCCUGGGAUGUCAAGGCUGCAGUGAGCCAUUACUGCACCACUGUAAUGGCUACACUGUAGCCUGGGUGACAAUGUGAAACCCAAUCUCAAAAAAAAAAAAAGAAAGAAGAGAAAGAGAAAAGAAAAGAGAAAUUAUACAAUCCAGGAAUCCUACUUCUGGGAAUCUAUGUAUGCAAAGCAGGACCUGGAAUAGACAUUUGCACACAUAUAUUUUUAAGAGCAUUCCCCAAUCCCCUAUACACAAAAAGGUGACAGCUACUUAAGUUUCUUGAUAAAUGGAUAACAUAUGGCAUUUGUAGGCAAUGGAAUAUGGCUGUACAUUCAGAUAGCAAAUUAUGCACAUGCUACAAUAAGCAUAAAACUUUAAGACAUCAUAUUUAGUGAAAUAUACCAGAAACAUAGUGACGAAGAGUACAUAAUCCCAUUUAUAUGAGCUAUCUUAAGUAAAAUGAUUUUUAGAAAACAGAAUUAUAAAGUACUCCUCCACAGAUGGAAUAAAAAGCUGGGAAUGCUGGGAGCAAAGUCAUCUGCCACCUGGAGAACAGAACUUCCAGGCACCAGGGGACUGCAAGCACAGAUGACAACAGUGACGGUAGCAAGGGCACUGAUCAGAGUAGUGGUGGCCUGAGGAGUACUUUUUGGCAUGCACCAGUGUGCCAGAGGCUGGGGCCCACACUGGGGACUGGAGUUGCCCUCCAUAACUCCAGAACCAGGUUCUGGUGUUUCACUUCAUGUUCCACCAAUGCCCCUGCGGACAGUAAAGUACUUAUCUCAAUUAAGUGAUCUAAACAUUGCAUUGAUAAACUAUAAAUAACCUCAAACACUCCAGUUAAAAACAAUUUACCACAUUGAAAAAUAUCAAACUUCUAAUCAGAACACAGAAAGUCUGUAUGAAAUUACACGGCAAAAAGAGAACAGUGAGAAGACUGUAGCCAUAACACAAAGAAGAAGGGCUGUGAGGCAUACAUAGCUGGGAAUAAACACAUAAAGAUAUCCCAAAACUAAAGAUAAUCAGAAAAUAAAAUAAGAGAUUCUCUUUAAAUUCAGAAUGAGUCAGUUUUGCAGCCUGGGAAGAGAUGUUCUCUCCACAUGCAGACUGCCAUUUCUUCACUAUAGACAUUUUCAUUCUCUUACUUGGAGCUACAAACUCACUCCAGAAAGAAUACUAUUUAUGGCCAAUUAUGGAGCAUCUAUUACCCAGUACUUUCUUAUGAUUACUAUAAUUAUAUAUCAAAACAUCCCAUGAAUUAUAGUUUUACCAGUACUUACCUUAAAAAAUUGGCACAAUAAACUCAUUUAUGUCAAUUAUAAAAAGUGAAACGAAUAACUAAACAGCUCAUGUAGGGUUAUCCAAUUAAAGCAAUAAAAUGAAAUGUCCUAACUAAAAUAUAACUUAAUACACGAAUUGUGAACUUGCAUCUAAAUAUUUUGUGUGCACUACUAAAUUUUAUAAAAUUAUAAUUUCUGACCAGCUCACAUAAUAAAUACUUCAUAAAGUAAAAAUAAAAAAAAAAAGAAGUUAAUUAUAGCUCUAGCAUGAGUAACAGACAAAUAAAAACAGAAUUUGCAUGGGGAGAGUCUCAACAAUGAUCCAUUAAAUUUUACAGUAACAGAAGAAAAUAUAGAUUUGAUUUCAGAAUGUUUUAGGUUCCUAGAUUUCUAGUAAAUUAUCCACCUUAUUAAAAUAAUCUUUGUUCCAAUAUUGCUAUUUUCUUUGGAAAAUAGAUACAAACUCUCACACAAACACAACUGUUUGCCCCAUAAUUUUCUUACACCUAAAUUUUAUCUUUAGAGCAAUACAUUUACAUAUUUAACUCCAUGUAAAUCAAAACCAAAGUCUGCAUUUAUUUGCGGAAAGAGAUGCUACAUAUUCAAAGAUAAAUAUGGAACAUUUUUUAAAAGCAUUCAU